rnacentral:rRNA from 1 species
GACGAACGCUGGCGGCGUGCCUAAUACAUGCAAGUCGAACGCAGUGGGGAUGGGUGAGUAACACGUGGGUAACCUCCCAUCAGAGGGGAUAACACUUGGAAAAAGGUGCUAAACCGAUACUGAUGGAUGGACCCGCGGGGCAUUUGCUCGUUGGUGGGGUAACGGCUCACCAAGGCCACGAUGCAUAGCGGUCCUGAGAGGAUGACCGGCCACACUGGGACUGAGACACGGCCCAGACUCCUACGGGAGGCAGCAGUAGGGAAUAUUGGACAAUGGACGAAAGCCUGACCGAGCAACGCCGCGUGUGUGAAGAAGGUUUUCGGAUCGUAAAACUCUGUUGGUAGGGAGGCGGUAUCUAAAGAAAAAGCAACGGCUAACUACGUGCCAGCAGCCGCGGUAAUAC